rnacentral:lncRNA from 1 species
GCCGUCGCCACGCCUUUUAGUAUGUCUAGCUAAGCACCACAUUUUGAGCCGCGGACAUGUGAGUUUGCCAUGGGGCCUCCGCCCCCCCCCCACGCUUUUGGACUUGGCAGCCGCCAGCCAGCCUAGCCUUAUUUCUAUCAGCAUGUGAAUAGUAGUGUAUAUUUGCAGGGUAUCCAGGUUAGGUUAAGUUCAUUCUUUCUCUAGUUUUCCAUUUUUUUUCUCUCAUUUUCUCUCAGGUUUUUCGCCCUUUUCCCCAUAAAAGGUCGUGGUCCCUCGUGCCAUUUUCUUUGCCAUUUAGCCGCUGUUUCUCACCCCUUCAUUUUUCCCUCAUGCCAUUUAGGGGGUCGAGCAGGGGCCGCAGUCCCCCCAAGUUCGAUUUUCCUCAACGCCUGACAUUUUUUUUCCCGUGAUUGUUCUUGAUGACAUUACUGAGCGUUUCGCACGGAAGUAUGAAAUUCUACGAUUAACGAGUAAUCGGCUUUCUC